rnacentral:rRNA from 1 species
GAUGAACGCUGGCGGCGUGCCUAAUACAUGCAAGUCGAGCGAACGGACGAGAAUCUUGCUUUUCUGAUGUUAGCGGCGGACGGGUGAGUAACACGUGGAUAACCUACCUAUAAGACUGGGAUAACUUCGGGAAACCGGAUCUAAUACCGGAUAAUAUUUUGAACCGCAUGGUUCAAAAGUGAAAGACGGUCUUGCUGUCACUUAUAGAUGGAUCCGCGCUGCAUUAGCUAGUUGGUAAGGUAACGGCUUACCAAGGCAACGAUGCAUAGCCGACCUGAGAGGGUGAUCGGCCACACUGGAACUGAGACACGGUCCAGACUCCUACGGGAGGCAGCAGUAGGGAAUCUUCCGCAAUGGGCGAAAGCCUGACGGAGCAACGCCGCGUGAGUGAUGAAGGUCUUCGGAUCGUAAAACUCUGUUAUUAGGGAAGAACAUAUGUGUAAGUAACUGUGCACAUCUUGACGGUACCUAAUCAGAAAGCCACGGCUAACUACGUG